rnacentral:rRNA from 1 species
AUCUAUGGCCAUACCACCCUCAAUGUGCUCAAUCUUGUCCGAUCUUGGAAGCUAAGCAGGGUUGGGCCUGAUUAAUAUUUGAAUGGGAGACCACCUAGGAAGACCAGGUGCUGUAGGCA